ACCAAGCCCUCUCAGAAAGUAGUUUCGGUGGGCUCUCCCGGGGGGUGUAAUGCUCUGAUUGUCCACCAGAGGUUACAAUGUCCUCUUUAUUAGUAGUUUCGGUGGGCUCUCCCGGGGGUGUAAUGCUCUGAUUGUCCACCAGAGGUUACAAUGUCCUCUUUAUUAGUAGUUUCGGUGGGCUCUCCCGGGGGUGUAAUGCUCUGAUUGUCCACCAGAGGUUACAAUGUCCUCUUUAUUAGUAGUUUCGGUGGGCUCUCCCGGGGGUGUAAUGCUCUAAUUGUCCACCAGAGGUUACAAUGUCCUCUUUAUUAGUAGUUUCGGUGGGCUCUCCCAGGGGGUGUAAUGCUCUGAUUGUCCACCAGAGGUUACAAUGUCCUCUUUAUUAGUAGUUUCGGUGGGCUCUCCCAGGGGGUGUAAUGCUCUGAUUGUCCACCAGAGGUUACAAUGUCCUCUUUAUUAGUAGUUUCGGUGGGCUCUCCCAGGGGGUGUAAUGCUCUAAUUGUCCACCAGAGGUUACAAUGUCCUCUUUAUUAGUAGUUUCGGUGGGCUCUCCCAGGGGGUGUAAUGCUCUGAUUGUCCACCAGAGGUUACAAUGUCCUCUUUAUUAGUAGUUUCGGUGGGCUCUCCCGGGGGUGUAAUGCUCUGAUUGUCCACCAGAGGUUACAAUGUCCUCUUUAUUAGUAGUUUCGGUGGGCUCUCCCGGGGGUGUAAUGCUCUGAUUGUCCACCAGAGGUUACAAUGUCCUCUUUAUUAGUAGUUUCGGUGGGCUCUCCCGGGGGUGUAAUGCUCUGAUUGUCCACCAGAGGUUACAAUGUCCUCUUUAUUAGUAGUUUCGGUGGGCUCUCCCAGGGGGUGUAAUGCUCUGAUUGUCCACCAGAGGUUACAAUGUCCUCUUUAUUAGUAGUUUCGGUGGGCUCUCCCGGGGGUGUAAUGCUCUGAUUGUCCACCAGAGGUUACAAUGUCCUCUUUAUUAGUAGUUUCGGUGGGCUCUCCCAGGGGGUGUAAUGCUCUGAUUGUCCACCAGAGGUUACAAUGUCCUCUUUAGUUGACUGUGGCUUCAAUGAUUCACCAGUAAUUGUCUGAGGUGAACUUAUCCUCUUUUCCUCGGGUAGAUAGUCAAAGUUCCAAACUCACUUUACACGCGCAGCUGCAGACUGCCAGGGUCCUGGUCCGGUGAGUUCAUUUUCUUCACCUCUUGUUGAGAGUUUCAAAGUUUCUAACCAUUUCAACGUGUGGUUCACGGUCUCACGUAUUUUGGUCUGGUAUGUUAAUUCUUAGCCAGUCAUUGUAAGCACUCUGGUCGGAAAGGGUGGUUCCAUCACACUGAUCCGCUCUUCUGACCUCAUUCGGGCCGUGGCUAUUUAAUGUGCAGAGGACAUGGGGUGGUUCCAUCACACUGAUACGCUCUUCUGACCUCAUUCGGGCCGUGGCUAUUUAAUGUGCAGAGGACAUGGGGUGGUUCCAUCACACUGAUACGCUCUUCUGACCUCAUUCGGGCCGUGGCUAUUUAAUGUGCAGAGGACAUAGGGUGGUUCCAUCACAUUGAUACGCUCUUCUGACCUCAUUCGGGUCGUGGCUAUUUAAUGUGCAGAGGACAUAGGGUGGUUCCAUCACACUGAUACGCUCUUCUGACCUCAUUCGGGUCGUGGCUAUUUAAUGUGCAGAGGACAUGGGGUGGUUCCAUCACACUGAUCCGCUCUUCUGACCUCAUUCGGGCCGUGGCUAUUUAAUGUGCAGAGGACAUGGGGUGGUUCCAUCACACUGAUACGCUCUUCUGACCUCAUUCGGGCCGUGGCUAUUUAAUGUGCAGAGGACAUGGGGUGGUUCCAUCACACUGAUACGCUCUUCUGACCUCAUUCGGGCCGUGGCUAUUUAAUGUGCAGAGGACAUGGGGUGGUUCCAUCACACUGAUACGCUCUUCUGACCUCAUUCGGGUCGUGGCUAUUUAAUGUGCAGAGGACAUGAAAAACCAUUAUCCUAUUAGAAAAACAAAAUCACAUUCCUAUCUUAACAACACUACUUUCAUCAUUCUUCAUAUUGUAUUCACAAUGUAUUGGAUAGAAACUUGACAGCCAAAAGAGGGUUCGUUCCUAAGUUACAGUAUUUGGUUCACAGAGUUUUUAAUAACAUCAUAAAAUGAAAAGCAAUAUGACAUGAUUAUUAUUCUUUAGCUCCCCACUGACCAUUCUUAACAUUCAUAUCUUAGAAAUAUUGUUCCAAUAUUCACUUUCUUUUGGAAGUUACUGUUUUGGCGGAAAAAGUACUCUUUAGACGAAAGGGACAUUUCUUUACCAAUACUGAAGAGAAAGAGGGAGAUUCCCCUCCUACCUAAUUUACAGAGAGUUAAGGUGUCAAAACCACCCCCCUCCCUCCUCUUCUGCGGGUGAUGAGAGGGGUCUGGUCAAUGUCAGCCAUUUGCCAAGCUGAUCUGAGGCCUUGGAUCCUCAGCCAGGAGAGUCAUGAGGAGGCCAAACGAUAGCCACUCCUCAGUGAAAGGCACAUGACAGCCCACUUGGAGUUUGCCAAAAGUCACCUAAAGACUCUC